GCUUAAACGUGCACCUCUUGUGGGCAAAGGAUACCUGUAUUUACAUUUUUAAAAAAAUUUCUCCAUUCUCAUUGUCUCCAUUCAUAAAUUGUCUGGCUUAAACUAGGUACUGUGAAGAAAAGUGACAGCUAACAGUCCUUUGCUUGCUUCUGGUAAGUAAAGGCUUUUGAUAUGCUAAUGAAGAAGAUCCAGAUGGUACAAAGUGCCAUAUAAAGAAGAAGAGAAAGAACAAACUCUGGUGGCAGAUUUGUUUUCUGAGACUUUAGCCUGUGCACAUCCUGCAGGCUGGACUCCCUGGGUCAGCCACGGAGUCCCGGACAUCCUGCUAUUUCCUCUACCAAACAAGGAUCACAGCAACAGGAAAUGGAAGGGACCAGCUGAGGAAUGGAAGGAUUGUGCAUGUUUAAGGAAAGACAUUCUUCUGGACUUGGUACUUGCGGACUUUUAGUAAGCUGAGUGAGUAAAAUUCUCAUGCUGCCGAGUUUGGUGGUGCACGCCUGGAAUCCCAGCACUCUGGAUGCUGAGGCAGAAGAAUCAUGAUGAGUUUGAGAUCAAUGUGGGCUACCUAGUGAGUGCAAGUUGGGCUUGAACUACACGGUGAGACCCUGUCUGAAAACGACAACAAAAGUGUCCAAUGCCGUUAGUUACAAUUCUGAACCUCUAAGAUAAAAGUUCAUGAAAAUACCAUGAUGAUUCCCCAGAUGUGGCCGUCACUCUAAUAACUGCAUGACUCCUUCAUCUGGGCAUUGGUGUAAAUGUACAAGGGGAGCCACAUGGACCAUAGCCAUGUCAAAGACAUGUCUCUCUGUAUGCUUCCAGAAGACUAAUAUCC
rnacentral:lncRNA from 1 species